AGAAUUCAACUCUAUAUAUAACUAAUAUAGGACAAUAGUGUAGAUUAUAAAUUACACCACUCCAGACCCUUUUGUUUUCCACAUAAUUAAUAUUGCCAAUAAUUAACAAGUUCCGGGUCUAAUCCGAUACCGAUACCAAUAGUAUAUUCACCUGUUAGCUAUUACCUUAUCUGUACGUUCCGCAUUUGACAGGCGCACCACCAAACGGUGUAUUUAGGAUUUUGCUAUAUACACGGGUCAUAAUCAAAGGGCUGACACUACUAAAUUCAAUCAUUGUCAAAUUGUUCCCUAUUGUAGCUUUAUUCAGCAAUCAGCAAGACUUUCUAGAUACUAAUAUAGGACAAUGCUGUUGAUUAAAAAAUACCCCAUUCCUGGAUAGCCUGGACCUUUUGUUUUCCAAAUAAUUAAUAUUUCCAAUAAUUGAUAAGUUCCAGGUCGACGGGUUCAAACAGAAAGAUUUGAAAGCAGAGAAAACUGUGUAUCUUAUAAUCGAGAUGACUUUAUCAGAUGACAAUACCAAUUACUAAAAUAAGGCUUAGGCAUAGUUAUAUACUUUAAUUCAGUCACGGACACGCGAUAUCACGGGUGUGUACUUGU
rnacentral:lncRNA from 1 species